rnacentral:rRNA from 1 species
GUCCACGCCGUAAACGAUGUCGACUAGCCGUUGGAAUCCUUGAGAUCUUAGUGGCGCAGCUAACGCAUUAAGUCGACCGCCUGGGGAGUACGGCCGCAAGGUUAAAACUCAAAUGAAUUGACGGGGGGCCCGCACAAGCGGUGGAGCAUGUGGUUUAAUUCGAAGCAACGCGAAGAACCUUACCUGGCCUUGACAUGCUGAGAACUUUCCAGAGAUGGAUUGGUGCCUUCGGGAACUCAGACACAGGUGCUGCAUGGCUGUCGU